rnacentral:rRNA from 1 species
AGAGAGUCAAAAAGACCGCGAAACCGUUAGGAGGGAAGCGAAUGCAGCUGAAUUAGCUCCGCUCAAGUUCAGGAGCGACGUCGAGCAGUGAUGCCGGCCCGCAAGAGCCGAUAGGCUUUGCUCUCCGGAUAGCUGUCGACUCCUCUGCACUCUUGUGCGAGCUGGCCAACAACAGUUGCCUGCGGCUGACAAGGGGGGACGGGCAGGUGCUCACUCUUCGGAGUGAUACUUACAGCCGUUCGUUUGGAAGUCCGCAGGUGACUGAGGAUAACUGGCAGUGCAGGCCUCCGGGUCUUGGGCUGCUCCUGGUCGUUUGGGCACCGCGUCAGGGUCUGCGUGCAGUGUCUGUCGACGGAUGACCUCUCGGGCGGGAGACCAGUCACACCUUGCGCUGCAGUUGUUGGUGAUCGAAUGGCCGCAUCCGACCCGUCUUGAAACACGGACCAAGGAGUGCAACANGNNUGCGAGUCUUUGGGUGGCAAACCCAGCGGCACAAUGAAAGUGAAGGCAGGCGGUGGUCUGCUUAGGCGAGAGUCUCCUCGUGGGACGCAUCGUCGACCGAUCCCAGGUCACGCUGUGGCGGGAUUUGAGUGAGAGCGUGCCUGUUGCGACCCGAAAGAUGGUGAACUAUGCCUGAAUAGGGUGAAGCCAGAGGAAACUCUGGUGGAAGCUCGUAGCGAUUCUGACGUGCAAAUCGAUCGUCAAAUUUGGGUAUAGGGGCGAAAGACUAAUCGAACCAUCUAGUAGCUGGUUCCCUCCGNAGUUUCCCUCAGGAUAGNUGGAGCCCGGNGCAGUUUUUUCAGGUAAAGNGACUGAUUAGAGGUCUUGGGGUUGAAACAACCUCAACCUAUUCUCAAACUUUAAAUGGGUAAGAAGCUCGGCUUGCUUAAUUGAAGUCGGGCAUCGAAUGCCGGGGUUCCUAGUGGGCCAUUUUUGGUAAGCAGAACUGGCGAUGUGGGAUGAACCAAAUGCCGGGUUAAGGUGCCCGAAUCGACGCUCAUCAGAUACCAUGAAAGGUGUUGGUUGAUCUAGACAGCAGGACGGUGGCCAUGGAAGUCGAAUCCG